rnacentral:rRNA from 1 species
GAUGAACGCUAGCGGCAGGCCUAAUACAUGCAGGUCGGACGGGAUUCAGGAGCUUGCUUCUGAUGAGAGUGGCGCACGGGUGCGUAACACGUAUGUAACCUACCUUUAUCAGGGGGAUAGCCUCUCGAAAGAGAGAUUAAGCCCGCAUAAAAUCACAGCACAGCAUUGUGUAAUGAUCAAAUAUUUAUAGGAUAAAGAUGGGCAUGCGGAACAUUAGCUAGAUGGCGGGGUAACGGCCCACCAUGGCGACGAUGUUUAGGGGAUCUGAGAGGAUGGCCCCCCACACUGGUACUGAGACACGGACCAGACUCCUACGGGAGGCAGCAGUAAGGAAUAUUGGUCAAUGGGCGGAAGCCUGAACCAGCCAUGCCGCGUGCAGGAAGACGGCCCUACGGGUUGUAAACUGCUUUUAUACGGGAAUAAACCCAGAUACGUGUAUCUGGCUGAAUGUACUGUAAGAAUAAGGAUCGGCUAACUCCGUG